GGCCAAGGGGCACCGUGGGACACCAAAGGGGGAAGUGACGAGCUCGUAGGCGAAGAGAAACGAGCCGCGGUGGAGCCGGAAGUCAGAGCCUGGAGCGGUGCUGGGGGCUGCAAGUCUGAGGUCAGGUGCAGGAGUCCCCGCGUCCUGGCACCCAGUAAUAAAGGGAUGGGAGCCUUCCAGUGAAUGGGCAGCAGGGGCUGCGGGUCGGGAGUGAGGGGCACCGGCAGAGCUCGGAGGGAGCCCAGGGCUGGGUACCAGGGGCUGCGGGUCGGGAGUGAGGGGCACCGGCAGUGCUCAGAGGGAGCCUAGGGCUGGGUACCGGGGGCUGCGGGUCGGGAGUGAGGGGCACCGGCAGAGCUCGGAGGGAGCCCAGUGCUGGGCUAGCAGGGGCUGUGGGUCAGGAGUGAGGGGCGCCCUCUCACUCUGUCCCAGUGCAGGGAUGGCCGAGUGGGUGGAGUUCCGGGAGCGGAUCCCCCGGGAGUGCCUGGAGGAGAUGCAGUUCAUCGCCUCUGGUGGGUUCGGCACCAUCUAUCUGGCUCAGCACCGUGACUGGCGCAUCCCCAUCGCUGUGAAGAAACUGAGCCGAGACACCUGCAGCCGUGAAGAGCUCCUGGCGGAAGCCCGGGCCAUGGACAAAGCUCGCUUCAUCUACAUCCUGCGGCUCUUCGGCCUCUAUGAGGAGGAAGAGGAGGGCUGGGACUCUGGCCCCCGGCUGGGCAUUGUCAUGGAGUACAUGGAGAAUGGCAGCCUGGCCGGCUUGCUGGAGAAAGUCCGGCCAGUCCCCUGGCCAAUGCGCUUCCGCCUCCUCCACCAGGUGGCGCUGGGCAUGAAUUACCUGCAUGGGCUUCACCCACCGUUACUGCACCUGGACCUCAAACCCAGCAACGUCCUGCUGAAUUUGGAGCUGCAUGUCCGGCUGGCAGACUUUGGGCUAUCGAAAUUCAAGCGAGUGACGACCAAGCAGGGAGCAGACAGCUCCGGGGAUAAGGAUGACUACGGGGGUACCCUGGAGUACAUGCCCCCCGAAUCCCUCGUAGACAUCAACUACAAGCCAACGCCAGCCACAGACAUAUACAGUUAUGCCAUCCUCACCUGGUCCGUGUUAAGCGGUGAACAGCCUUACCCAAAUCUCCCCCCAAAAUGCAUGAGCUCCCUGCUCCGAAUGCACAUCCCCCGGGGUCAGAGACCCGACAUGGAGGAGCUGGAGGAGGUCACAGGAGUGGAGGGCCUGGAGGACAUGAAAGAGUUAAUGAAGAGAUGUUGGCACAAUGACAGCUGGCAAAGACCCACUUUUAAAGACUGCAGCAACAAGACAGAGAAGAUUUUUUCCUGCCACAAGUCCCGGAUCGUGCUGGCUGUGCGUCAGGUGCAGGAUGUGCUGAUGAUGAUGGCCAGUUCUCCCAGCGAUGAGUCCAGACCAUCAGUAAGCGUCCCUACACCUGCUGCGGCUGAGAGCUCCCAUCGCCACACCUUUCCUCCAUCUUCCCUCCGGGUCUCAGAGCAAUUCCAGACACUUCGCUAUGAGGAUCGUCCAUCCAGAGAAAACGAAGCUGUGCUCCAGAGAAACAUAAGGCAAACGGAGCAUCAGCAAGGACCUGGUACCCCUCCGCCCUGCAAUGUCAGCAUGGGUCCCAGGCAGGGAGCAGAAGGACCCAAUAAUGGAGAAUUUGGCUUCCCCAAGACAAUCCCAUCACAGUUGAGACACCCAGACAAUCAGCCGAGGCCCUUCUUCCCCAGCCAGUCCCAACCACACCUCCCCACCCAGGGGCCGGAUCAACCCAUGUUCCCAUUCUGGCAACCGUCUCCGCAACCUGUCCAUGGGUUCUCAGAGAAACCAGGGGCCCGCUGGCAUCGCCCUGCCAAUAAGGAGAAUAACAUCAGUGAUUGAUAUUACCCAGUCCGGCCUGUCCUGCUGAGAUCUCACAUUGCAUCUGGGACAGGUAUUCUCUGCUGCUGAAAGCCCAGCUCUUUCCGCCAAACAGAACCAGCCUGGAAAUGGAUGGGCAGAGAGAAAAAUCUAGAGCUGGGCAAAAUGAGCCCUUCUCGGCACCUGCUCCAGCUGAGAUUCCUCUUUCUGGGACAGGGCUGCCCAGAACUCUGCACCGGAUUCCAGCUGAGCUCUGCCCGGUGCCUUCUCCUCUGGCAUUAAACCCUCCCUCUCUACUGGAGACACCUCGGCUGCUCCAUCCCAGAACCGUAUUGGCCUUUCUCCCGGACACAUCCCGUUUGUGGCCCAUGGUCAUCCUGCAAUCCACUGACACACCAAAGUCUCCCUCCUCCUCUGUCGCUUCCAGCUGAUGAGCCCCCAGCUCAGAGCAGGAAUUUUCUUCUUACUUGUCCCUAUUUGCGUGAGCCCAUGUUAAAUUUCAGCCCGUUUCCACCAGCGCCUUGCAGAAGGGCACGAACACUGGCGAUACCUCUCCAGAGAUGUCCUAGAUGUCGGGAUCCCUGGCUGGGCUGCAUCUCCCAUGAUGCCCCAGGGGCUCCCCUCUUGGGGCAGUGCAGCAUGGGAGGGGCACGGCCAUGGUGGUUUCCAUCAGCUCCUUGCCCUGGAGCAGCUUGCUGCUGGCUGGCGGCUCUGGGUGGGGGGAUAUUUACCUGGAACCCUGAUUUCUUGGCGUGGGGGUUGCUGGCCCACAGCAUGGUGGUGGGGUCAUAAUUAGGGUUGCCAGCCCUCCAGGAUUGUCCUGGAGUCUCCAGGAAUUAAAGAUUAAUCUUGAAUUAAAGAUUAUGUCAGAAGAUGAAACCUCCAGAAAUAUGCCCAACCAAAAUUGGCAACCCUAGUCGUAAUGCCAGCACUGUUCUCUGCAUGUGCCGUCCCUCACCACCUCCUGCAGCCUGUCAGUGGUGGUGUUCGCUCCGGUCCG